AUUGAACGCUGGCGGAAUGCUUUACACAUGCAAGUCGAACGGCAGCACGGGGCAACCUGGUGGCGAGUGGCGAACGGGUGAGUAAUACAUCGGAACGUGCCCAAUCGUGGGGGAUAACGUAGCGAAAGUUACGCUAAUACCGCAUACGAUCUACGGAUGAAAGCGGGGGAUCGCAAGACCUCGCGCGAAUGGAGCGGCCGAUGUCAGAUUAGGUAGUUGGUGGGGUAAAGGCUCGCCAAGCCGACGAUCUGUAGCUGGUCUGAGAGGACGACCAGCCACACUGGGACUGAGACACGGCCCAGACUCCUACGGGAGGCAGCAGUGGGGAAUUUUGGACAAUGGGCGCAAGCCUGAUCCAGCCAUUCCGCGUGCAGGAUGAAGGCCUUCGGGUUGUAAACUGCUUUUGUACGGAACGAAACGGUUCUCUCUAAUACAGGGGGCUAAUGACGGUACCGUAAGAAUAAGCACCGGCUAACUACGUGCCAGCCGCCGCCGUAA
rnacentral:rRNA from 1 species